GGCCUAUUAGCUCAGUUGGUUAGAGCGUCGUGCUAAUAACGCGAAGGUGUUGGGUUUGAUCGCCCUAUGGGCCA